GUAGUAUUCCCUCCGUCCCAAAAUUCUUGUCUUACAUUUGUUUAGAUACGAAUGUAUCUAACACUAAAAUGUAACUAGAUACAACCAUAUUUAGACAAAUUUAAGACAAGAAUUUUGGGACAGAGGGAGUACAAA
rfam:Triticum aestivum genome assembly, contig: Triticum_aestivum_CS42_TGACv1_scaffold_033299_1BL